ensembl:lncRNA
AGACUUGUCUGGGCAGGAAGGGGAGGGGAGGUACAUAAUGAUAUGUAAAACAGACUUGUCUGGGCAGGAAGGGGAGGUACAUAAUGAUAUGUAAAACAGACUUGUCUGGGCAGGAAGGGGAGGGUAGGUACAUAAUGAUAUGUAAAACAGACUUGUCUGGGCAGGAAGGGGAGGGGAGGUACGUAAUGAUAUGUAAAACAGACUUGUCUGGGCAGGAAGGGGAGGUGCGUAAUGAUAUGUAAAACAGACUUGUCUGGGCAGGAAGGGGAGGGGAGGUACAUAAUGAUAUGUAAAACAGACUUGUCUGGGCAUGAAGGGGAGGUACAUAAUGACAGGUAAAACAGACUUGUCUAGGCAGGAAGGGGAGGGUAGGUACGUAAUGAUAUGUAAAACAGACUUGUCUGGGCAGGAAGGGUAGGUACAUAAUGAUAUGUAAAACAGACUUGUCUGGGCAGGAAGGGGAGGUACGUAAUGAUAUGUAAAACAGACUUGUCUGGGCAGGAAGGGGAGGUACGUAAUGAUAUGUAAAACAGACUUGUCUGGGCAGGAAGGGGAGGGGAGGUACGUAAUGAUAUGUAAAACAGACUUGUCUGGGCAGGAAGGGGAGGG